UACUGCGAAGGGGGGACGGAGAAGGCUAUGUUGGCCGGGCGACGGUUGUCCCGGUUUAAGCGUGUAGGCUGGUUUUCCAGGCAAAUCCGGAAAAUCAAGGCUGAGGCGUGAUGACGAGGCACUACGGUGCUGAAGCAACAAAUGCCCUGCUUCCAGGAAAAGCCUCUAAGCAUCAGGUAACAUCAAAUCGUACCCCAAACCGACACAGGUGGUCAGGUAGAGAAUACCAAGGCGCUUGAGAGAACUCGGGUGAAGGAACUAGGCAAAAUGGUGCCGUAACUUCGGGAGAAGGCACGC
rnacentral:rRNA from 1 species